rnacentral:rRNA from 1 species
ACACAUGCAGUCGAGCGCACCUUCGGGUGAGCGGCGGACGGGUUAGUAACGCGUGGGAACGUACCCAGAUCUAAGGAAUAGCCACUGGAAACGGUGAGUAAUACCUUAUACGCCCUUCGGGGGAAAGAUUUAUCGGAUUUGGAUCGGCCCGCGUUAGAUUAGGUAGUUGGUGGGGUAAUGGCCUACCAAGCCUACGAUCUAUAGCUGGUUUUAGAGGAUGAUCAGCAACACUGGGACUGAGACACGGCCCAGACUCCUACGGGAGGCAGCAGUGGGGAAUCUUAGACAAUGGGGGCAACCCUGAUCUAGCCAUGCCGCGUGAGUGAAGAAGGUCUUAGGAUCGUAAAGCUCUUUCGCCAGGGAUGAUAAUGACAGUACCUGGUAAAGAAACCCCGGCUAACUCCGUGCCAGCAGCCGCGGUAAUACGGAGGGGGUUAGCGUUGUUCGGAAUUACUGGGCGUAAAGCGCGCGUAGGCGGAUCAGAAAGUUGGGGGUGAAAUCCCAGGGCUCAACCCUGGAACUGCCUCCAAAACUCCUGGUCUUGAGUUCGAGAGAGGUGAGUGGAACUCCGAGUGUAGAGGUGAAAUUCGUAGAUAUUCGGAAGAACACCAGUGGCGAAGGCGGCUCACUGGCUCGAUACUGACGCUGAGGUGCGAAAGUGUGGGGAGCAAACAGGAUUAGAUACCCUGGUAGUCCACACCGUAAACGAUGAAUGCCAGUCGUCGGGUAGUAUACUAUUCGGUGACACACCUAACGGAUUAAGCAUUCCGCCUGGGGAGUACGGUCGCAAGAUUAAAACU